GCUCCAGUUGCCGAAGCUGCGUUUCCAAGACUCGCGGCCCUGCGUUCCCAGGGAUAUCUGCAUGCUCACGUGAGCGUGGUCCUCGGCUUGGGACAGACAAGGGAGCCCCAGACAGGACGAUAAGGAAGCACGGUUUCGGGGAAGUGGCCAAGUGGCUUAAGUGAGGAGGGUCUGCUUGAAGGCGGCAGGUUUCCAGCGGGCUUCCUGAAGAGUUGAGCUUAUCACCGGCAUUCUGUGUCCCUUCAGGUUCCCUGAGAACUGGGUCAAGAAAGCAGGUUGGGGUAGGAAAAAAACGACACCCCCAUUUCAAACAAUAACUUUUAUUUUAUACUUCUCUAUACUUUGUAGCAAAUCUUUUUUUGCUGAAUUUAAUUUAUAAUAAACUUUUUAAAUUACAUCUCUUUUUUUAAAAUCAAGGCUCUUUUAUGUCAAAAUCUUUUUUUAGCUAUACUUUAGAUUAACAUUUAACAUCCCCCCCCUUGUGAUCUAUACCGUUGGAUAUUCAGGUAUUACUGUGUGUGUAACAGCUAAAACAAGAGGGAGGAGGGAAAAUAAAGGCAGUGAACUUGGACGGAUGCAUCAACAACAGCAGAUAAAGCUAACCCCUCAGUGACCAUAGCAGCAUGUCUUCUGGAAGCCUUUACUCUUACCCCAGAGAUUUCCUCAGCCCCUUCCCUCUCUCCCUCCUAUCCUUCAAACACAAAGCCAACAGUCUGUCCUUUCGCUUUUCUUGAGGAGAAAUGUGCAGUGGAAAUGAUCAAAACAAGAUACUGUGGAAGAACGACGUGAGCGUGAAUUAUUCACCGUAUGUUUCGUCCGUGGACAUCUCUCUUCAAUUCAUUCCCCUGGCCUUCUCCUCUCCUCGCCUUCCUAUUAGGAGGAGCCCAUCAUUUUUCAUGUUACUAGCAUGAUUAAUAUAGUAGGUGGCCCAGGGCCGUUCCUGAGAUUCUUUUGCCAACAAAAAAAAAAUUAAUAAUAAUAAAAUUAAAAAAUGGG